ACUCUAUGACCAUAGUUCAUGCCAGUUGGCCAGUCGCAUCGCUGUGACCAUCAACUGUUGUGUACAAAUGGCGGUUUACACAUUAUUCUGCGAAGGCGUUCACCGCAAGUACAAAGCUAGUUUAUGUUCAAAGGCAACUGCGUUUGUUGUGGUUCUAAGCUGCGCAACAAUCGUAAUUCCAUUCAUGUUCGCCUACAAAGACCUAGGGUUCUGGAAGAAGCUAGAUCAGUACCAAGAACAACCUGAAGUGCGCUUCAAGCGUCGACUGAUAUUUAUAUUAGAAUGUGGCGAGGGACUCGUAUUUUGGAGUUCUUACCCUUUCCUAAACUCUCAUGCUACAGAAUUAAGCAUCCCCUCUGUAGAGGAUUUAGAGGAAGACUUCGAUUCUGAUGGGAAAAUGGAUGAGCUGAAUCUCAGCGUUAAAAUGCCGCUGCCAAAAAAGUUCGACGUGCUUCGUGUGAAAAUCCUUCUUCUUUUUGAUUGUAGAAUUGCGACGUACACCAGGGUCUCAUAUGAGGGGCUAGCCUUUAUUGACCAUUCCUCCAGCAUUUCUGGCUCAGAACUUUCACUGACAGGAGAACUGAGACUUCGCCAGAAAGAACUGUUGCGACCUGGGUCUCAUGACAGCCGCUUUGAGCAUUCCAUCAUCAAUCUGGACAGUUCUAGCGUGUCUUCAUUCAGUCUUGAUUUCAUUCUAGACGAGUACUCAAAACGAAAUGUGACAACGCAGCUGUCCAAUGUUCAAAGUACAUGGAGGGUUGCCUCGGGCGCUACACAUUUCCUUGCCAACCUGAGGAUCAAGUACCCAGUAGAGAUUUUGUGGUAUCGUCCCGGAGUGUGGCAAGUCCUGAAGCAUGCCUGGACCCAGUAUUUGGCAUUUCUUGCUAUUUUUCUCUUACUGGGUGAAAGGACCAAGGAGUUUGUGUUUGUCUCAGGAGGCGAACCGGAAAUGCUGCACAGGAAACAAGAGUGUCACUCAAUGCUCAUGCCACUAAAAAAGGCCAUUUUGUCCAUAGUAGGAAAAGAUUUCACAGACUGCCAACAGUGGAUCUCUAAUGUUUUCAAUGUGCCCUACAACACUGUUUCACCCAUUGGCUGCCAAAGCUGGCAAACCCCAGACUCGAAGAACCUCGACCACAUUGUCAAAGCGAGCGAUUCACAGGAUUGGUUUAAAACGGUAUUUGUUGAUUCUGCAACAUAUAGCAUUAUGUCCGCUUCAGUGGUGGUACGAUCUAAAAAAUAUUUCGUUUAUAUUUGUAGACACUUUGUGCAUGCAUUCCAACAUCUAUGUGCCUGUAGCAGCACAGUGACCGCAUUCCAUCGAAUCCCGGCAAACAAAUUUUGUCACAACAGUGCAAAAUGUGCUGGGACAAAAGAGGAAAACAAAUUUAGCAGGGUGCUUUGUUACGAAGUCCGAAGAAUCCAAGAAUGGGGUUGCCUUGCAUCUAGUGGCUUUCACACAUCAGCGAUUUGAAGGAUCUUGUGGAUGUUCACGGGAUUCAAAGCUUAGUGCUGAAAGUAAGCUCUGGAUGGCUGCACUGUAGUUGCAGAAGAUGGACUGUUGGUGUUGAGCUAGUUUCCAGAUAGAUGAACUGAAGUUCCACAUGCCAGCCUGCAAGCAUGGUGGCUGUUGUGGAUUUCAAGUGUGAGGUUUUGAGUAUAAUCUUGAAUUUAGCUGGGAUGACUGGUGCAAUCAUUCAUGUAGAGUGAGUGAACGAUCACUGGAAAUGUUAGGGCAGCUGCUGUGGACAUCAUGUGCUGCCAAUGAGACUUUGCUUCUUUCUUGAUGCCUAGGAUGUCGGGACACACUUGAGGGGAAUGCAGGUACAACAACGGUGACAGCUGUCUUACUUCAGGUAUAGUACGAUGGCAAGGAAGCUUGGUGAGCAGCAAGAAUAUCUCUGUAACUCGUUUUUAUGCGCUUCCUAAAGCCUCCUCUGCUGCCAAUGCACUCCACUUUGUUUCAAAGCAAAUGAAGAACGGCUCUUGCGUCUGAUGUUGAAGGUGUUUUGCACGAUUCUUUGUUCACUACAAAGUCCUCUUCACCUUCGGCACAUGACACAACAUUGACAAUUUCUGUGUCUGUGGCAGGAGCAACACAGCUGCGUCCACAUCCGCAAUCAGGUUGACAGGAAGAAAAACAAAAGCAAAGAACUACUAUCUAUGCAGCACCAAGUGGUUCCGGGUGGAUUUCCUGCUUCGCAUUUCAUAAGUGGAGUCCGGUGCUGCUACACUUCGAAUACUACUCCGGCCUAAAAUUACUGUGGCCAUCAUAUCACUAGGCUAAAAUGCACAGCAGCCAGAGCCAAUAAAAACUUUGAAUAAAGCAAUAUCUCGAGUGAAGUGCCUUCCCUAUAAUGAGGGUUUACUGCAUUUCCUUUUUUAAUGAAAAUAAGAAGACUUUUAUUGUAAAUUAUAACAAGCCAAACUUUCAUCAUGCUGUGUGUUGUUACUGUAUUCCAUCAUUUUCAUUAUGAUAAUAAUUGUGGCACCUUGCUGAGCUGUGCAACUGAGCAUACAUUGAUUUACGUAUGGUUACAAGGACUAUUGCAUAUUUGAAAGGAUAUUAAAUGGCAUUUCUUCUGCACCUUCUGUCCUUACUUUUCUAUAUGGAAAGGUAUUCAAUUAAAUAUUUGAACAAUUUCUUUCUAACAUUCACCUUCAAUUCAAUAAA